rnacentral:rRNA from 1 species
GACUCUCGACAACGGAUAUCUCGGCUCUCGCAUCGAUGAAGAACGUAGUGAAAUGCGAUACUUGGUGUGAAUUGCAGAAUCCCGUGAACCAUCGAGUCUUUGAACGCAAGUUGCGCCCGAAGCCGUCAGGCCGAGGGCACGUCUG